rnacentral:rRNA from 1 species
GAAUAUUCCAUAAUGGACGAAAGUCUGAUGGAGCAAUGCCGCGUGAGCGAAGAAGGUGUUCGGAUAGUAAAGAACUGUUGUAAGGGAAGAACAAGUACGGGAGUAAAUGCCCGUAUCUAGAAGGUACCUGAUUAGAAAGCCACGGACAACUACGUGCCAGCAGCCGCGGUAAUAGGUAGGUGGCAAGGGUUGUCCGGAAUUAUUGGGCGUAAAGCGCGCGCAGGCGGCCUGUUAAGUCUGAUGUGAAAGCCCCCGGCUCAACCCGGGAAGGUCAUUUGAAACUGAUAGGCUUGAGUACAGAAGAGGAAAGCGGAAUUCCACGUGUAGCGGUGAAAUGCGUAGAGAUGUGGAGGAACACCAGUGGCGAAGGCGGCUUUCUGGUCUGUAACUGACGCUGAGGCGCGAAAGCGUGGGGAGCAAACA